GUCCCCUUCGGGGUGACAUAAGAAAAAAUUGGAACGAUACAGAGAAGAUUAGCAUGGCCCCUGCACAAGGAUGACACGCUUUUCCGGAGUGGUAGACCUACGGGUCUCAAUAUUUAU
rnacentral:snRNA from 1 species